rnacentral:rRNA from 1 species
GCAAGUCGAGCGAUCCCUUCGGGGAGGAGCGGCGGACGGGUUAGUAACGCGUGGGAACAUACCCUUUUCUAUGGAAUAGCCUUUGGAAACGAAGAGUAAUACCAUAUACGCCCUUCGGGGGAAAGAUUUAUCGGAAUUGGAUUAGCCCGCGUUAGAUUAGAUAGUUGGUGGGGUAAUGGCCUACCAAGUCUACGAUCUAUAGCUGGUUUGAGAGGAUGAUC